rnacentral:rRNA from 1 species
CCGUUGGGUGACGCGGAGGGAUCAUU